CUCCUGGUGGUCGAGUGGUUAGGAUUCAGCACUUUCACUGCUGCCGCCUGGGUUCAACCCCUGGUCAGGAAC
rnacentral:tRNA from 1 species